UACGUAGGGUCCGAGCGUUGUCCGGAAUUAUUGGGCGUAAAGGGCUCGUAGGCGGUUUGUCGCGUCGGGAGUGAAAACUCAGGGCUUAACCCUGAGCGUGCUUCCGAUACGGGCAGACUAGAGGGAUGCAGGGGAGAACGGAAUUCCUGGUGUAGCGGUGGAAUGCGCAGAUAUCAGGAGGAACACCGGUGGCGAAGGCGGUUCUCUGGGCAUUACCUGACGCUGAGGAGCGAAAGCAUGGGGAGCGAACAGGAUUAGAUACCCCAGUAGU
rnacentral:rRNA from 1 species